rnacentral:rRNA from 1 species
CGGCGCCACGAGUGGCAAUCACGUUUAUUGGGCCUAAAGCGUCCGUAGCCGAUUUGAUAAAUCUUUUGUGAAAUCGUUGGACUUAAUCCAGCGGCAUGCAGGAGACACUGUCAGGUUAGGAACCGGGAAGGGUCAGAGGUAUGCUUGGGGAAGCGGUAAAAUGCUAUAAUCCCAAGCAGACCACCUGUGGCGAAGGCGUCUGACUAGAACGGAUUCGACGGUGAGGGACGAAAGCCAGGGGAGCGAACCGGAUUAGAUACCCGAGUAGUCC